rnacentral:misc_RNA from 1 species
AGUUUACGCAGUAGAUUUUUUCUUUGCUUACUGCUGCUUCUUUUUUUAUCUUGCACUCGCCUGGCCCGUGCGGUUCAGUGCAUUUUACACAGCGGUAGUUUAGGUUACAGUUUUGUGCUGUGUGGCCUAUUCGCUGGCAUUUGUAGCACUGCGUGAUAUCGUUUUUUUUUUAAUUUUCUCCCAUGCUAUUUUCAGAUAGUUAAGUCUGUUUAUUUUUAGUAGGUUCCCAAUGUUGCUAUCGGGGGAUACUUGAAUUAUAUAGAUUGGGAGCAAUA